rnacentral:tRNA from 1 species
AGCCCUGGGGUGUUUCCACGUUAGAUUGCAAAUCUUAAGAAGCAGGCUAGUUACCUGCCGGGGCUU